GACGAACGCUGGCGGCGUGCUUAACACAUGCAAGUCGAACGGAAAGGCCCUGCUUUUGUGGGGUGCUCGAGUGGCGAACGGGUGAGUAACACGUGAGUAACCUGCCCUUGACUUUGGGAUAACUUCAGGAAACUGGGGCUAAUACCGGAUAGGAGCUCCUGCUGCAUGGUGGGGGUUGGAGAGUUUCGGCGGUUGGGGAUGGACUCGCGGCUUAUCAGCUUGUUGGUGGGGUAGUGGCUUACCAAGGCUUUGACGGGUAGCCGGCCUGAGAGGGUGACCGGCCACAUUGGGACUGAGAUACGGCCCAGACUCCUACGGGAGGCAGCAGUGGGGAAUAUUGCACAGUGGGCGGAAGCCUGAUGCAGCAACGCCGCGUGCGGGAUGACGGCCUUCGGGUUGUAAACCGCUUUCGCCUGUGACGAAGCGUGAGUGACGGUAAUGGGUAAAGAAGCACCGGCUAACUACGUGCCAGCAGCCGCGGUGAUACGUAGGGUGCGAGCGUUGUCCGGAUUUAUUGGGCGUAAAGGGCUCGUAGGUGGUUGAUCGCGUCGGAAGUGUAAUCUUGGGGCUUAACCCUGAGCGUGCUUUCGAUACGGGUUGACUUGAGGAAGGUAGGGGAGAAUGGAAUUCCUGGUGGAGCGGUGGAAUGCGCAGAUAUCAGGAGGAACACCAGUGGCGAAGGCGGUUCUCUGGGCCUUUCCUGACGCUGAGGAGCGAAAGCGUGGGGAGCGAACAGGCUUAGAUACCCUGGUAGUCCACGCUGUAAACGGUGGGUACUAGGUGUGGGGUCCAUUCCACGGGUUCCGUGCCGUAGCUAACGCUUUAAGUACCCCGCCUGGGGAGUACGGCCGCAAGGCUAAAACUCAAAGGAAUUGACGGGGCCCCGCACAAGCGGCGGAGCAUGCGGAUUAAUUCGAUGCAACGCGUAGAACCUUACCUGGGUUUGACAUGGAUCGGGAGUGCUCAGAGAUGGGUGUGCCUCUUUUGGGGUCGGUUCACAGGUGGUGCAUGGCUGUCGUCAGCUCGUGUCGUGAGAUGUUGGGUUAAGUCCCGCAACGAGCGCAACCCUUGUUCACUGUUGCCAGCACGUUAUGGUGGGGACUCAGUGGAGACCGCCGGGGUCAACUCGGAGGAAGGUGGGGAUGACGUCAAGUCAUCAUGCCCCUUAUGUCCAGGGCUUCACGCAUGCUACAAUGGCUGGUACAGAGAGUGGCGAGCCUGUGAGGGUGAGCGAAUCUCGGAAAGCCGGUCUCAGUUCGGAUUGGGGUCUGCAACUCGACCUCAUGAAGUCGGAGUCGCUAGUAAUCGCAGAUCAGCAACGCUGCGGUGAAUACGUUCCCGGG
rnacentral:rRNA from 1 species